rnacentral:rRNA from 1 species
UACGAAGGGGGCUAGCGUUGCUCGGAAUCACUGGGCGUAAAGCGCACGUAGGCGGGUCCUUAAGUCAGGGGUGAAAUCCCGGAGCUCAACUCCGGAACUGCCUUUGGUACUGGGGAUCUUGAGUCCGGAAGAGGUGAGUGGAACUCCGAGUGUAGAGGUGAAAUUCGUAGAUAUUCGGAAGAACACCAGUGGCGAAGGCGGCUCACUGGUCCGGUACUGACGCUGAGGUGCGAAAGCGUGGGGAGCAAACAGG